GAUGAACGCUGGCGGCGUGCCUAAUACAUGCAAGUCGAGCGAACAGACGAGGAGCUUGCUCCUCUGACGUUAGCGGCGGACGGGUGAGUAACACGUGGAUAACCUACCUAUAAGACUGGGAUAACUUCGGGAAACCGGAGCUAAUACCGGAUAAUAUAUUGAACCGCAUGGUUCAAUAGUGAAAGACGGUUUUGCUUUCACUUAUAGAUGGAUCCGCGCCGCAUUUGCUAGUUGGUAAGGUAACGGCUUACCAAGGCAACGAUGCGUAGCCGACCUGAGAGGGUGAUCGGCCACGCUGGAACUGAGACACGGUCCAGACUCCUACGGGAGGCAGCAGUAGGGAAUCUUCCGAAAUGGGCGAAAGCCUGACGGAGCAACGCCGCGUGAGUGAUGAAGGUCUUCGGAUCGUAAAACUCUGUUAUUAGGGAAGAACAAAUGUGUAAGUAACUAUGCACGUCUUGACGGUACCUAAUCAGAAAGCCACGGCUAACUACGUG
rnacentral:rRNA from 1 species